rnacentral:sRNA from 1 species
CACAUAAUGAUAAUACAAGAUAUAAACAAAAACAGGCCUGACAGUUUGUAUUCCUAAAAACUGCUGUUGAAAUAGCCAUAAAGACUGUGUCUAAAGUCAAUGUGAACUUAAAUGUAUCCACAGCAUUUGAGAUAUUGAUGAACAUUCAGAAUAUCUAAAUGUCACAAAUGACCAGUGGGAUGUCCAGUCACAAAAACAUUUUUUCCACGGAACAAUCUAAUGACCUGUCAUUACUUAUUGCCUGAGGAAACACCUAGCCUACACUAAAUGCCAAGGAAUUUAACGUAAAAUCUAUACGAGCUCAGACGUCGCCUCGUAAAAGGUCUGCGCAUGGCAGUUUCUUCCAGGACAGCAAACACCUUCUAAACCUUUUGCAACUCAACAUCUUAGGCCUACAAAACAAGACAACAGAACUCCAACACAAACUCAAGAAGCA